UUGAGCUUGGUAUGCUUAUCAGCCUG
rnacentral:piRNA from 1 species